ensembl:miRNA MIR3144 microRNA 3144
AACUACACUUUAAGGGGACCAAAGAGAUAUAUAGAUAUCAGCUACCUAUAUACCUGUUCGGUCUCUUUAAAGUGUAGUU